AACGAACGCUGGCGGCGUGCUUAAUACAUGCAAGUCGAACGAGAAAGCCUUCGGGUGAGUAUAGUGGCGCACGGGAGAGUAAUGCAUAGGAACGUACCUUUGGGUGGGGGAUAACCACUGGAAACGGUGGCUAAUACCGCAUGGUCUGGCAACAGUAAGGAUGGCCUCUACUUGUAAGCUAUCGCCCAUAGAUCGGCCUAUGUCCCAUUAGCUAGUUGGUGAGGUAAAGGCUCACCAAGGCUCCGAUGGG
rnacentral:rRNA from 1 species